rnacentral:rRNA from 1 species
UGUUGACCUCAACUCAAAUGUGAUUACCCGCUAAAUUAAGCUAC